rnacentral:rRNA from 1 species
AGAGUUUGAUCAUGGCUCAGGACGAACGCUGGCGGCGUGCUUAACACAUGCAAGUGGAGCGACGAACCAGGGCUUGCCCUGGGGCAAAGCCGCGAACGGGUGAGUAACACGUGGGUAACCUGCCUUGAUGAUUGGGACAACCCCGGGAAACCGGGGCUAAUACCAAAUGUGCUCACACCCCAUCAGGGGUAUGAGGAAAGGAAGCUUCGGCCUCCGCAUCAAGAUGGGCCCGCGGCCCAUUAGCUUGUUGGUGAGGUAACGGCUCACCAAGGCUCCGAUGGGUAGCUGGUCUGAGAGGAUGAUCAGCCACACUGGGACUGAGACACGGCCCAGACUCCUACGGGAGGCAGCAGUGGGGAAUCUUGCACAAUGCGCGAAAGCGUGAUGCAGCAACGCCGCGUGUGGGAAGACGGCCUUCGGGUUGUAAACCACUUUCAGUUGGGACGAAGCUCCGUCGGUGAAUAGCCGGCCGGAGUGACGGUACCUUCACAAGAAGCCCCGGCUAACUACGUGCCAGCAGCCGCGGUA